UGCCAGACUCCUACGGGAGGCAGCAGUGGGGAAUAUUGCACAAUGGGGGAAACCCUGAUGCAGCGACGCCGCGUGAGCGAUGAAGUAUUUCGGUAUGUAAAGCUCUAUCAGCAGGGAAGAAAAUGACGGUACCUGACUAAGAAGCCCCGGCUAACUACGUGCCAGCAGCCGCGGUAAUACGUAGGGGGCAAGCGUUAUCCGGAUUUACUGGGUGUAAAGGGAGCGUAGACGGUGAGACAAGUCUGAAGUGAAAGCCCGGGGCUCAACCCCGGGACUGCUUUGGAAACUGCCUGACUGGAGUGCUGGAGAGGCAAGCGGAAUUCCUAGUGUAGCGGUGAAAUGCGUAGAUAUUAGGAAGAACACCAGUGGCGAAGGCGGCUUGCUGGACAGUAACUGACGUUGAGGCUCGAAAGCGUGGGGAGCAAACAGGAUUAGAUACCCCAGUAU
rnacentral:rRNA from 1 species